UUUUUUUUAAAGGAGAUUUAAACAUAUAUAUGGUAUUAAAAAUAUUUUAGGGAUAUUUAACGUAUGUUGGUAGGUGUAAUAAAUAUCCAACCAAAAAGUCAAUCAAAUUUAAUGUGUAGUUUAAUUUGUUGCAGAACGGAUUAUAAGAUAUUUCUCAUAUUUUGAGUCAUGUACUAAUGUGUCGUAUACAAUUCAACCUAAUAAUGAUUCUUGUUAAUAUAAUUCGUACGUCACUCACAAGACUCAAAAAUGAAAAUAAAAAUAAGCUUAGAA